AGUUUUACAAUAACGAGAUUUUUUUUUACAGUGAAAGGCUCUACAAUAACGUGAGACGUUAGGGUUCCGACGCUCCGGUGAAUCUCGAUUCUUCUUGAAGCUUCGUUUUCGCGGAAUCUGGGAGGUGAAUUUGAUUGAUUUUUCAUCGCAUCGGUGAAAUUGAGCUGUUGCUUAUCCGGAUUUGUGGUGAUUGAGCGAUAUGGAGGUCGUUAAAUCUAAGUACAGGGAGGAGGAUUUGGAGGUGGAGGAGGAGGAGGAUGAUUUGAAGAGCAGUCGGAGGGACCGUGAUCGGAGUAGGGAGAGGAAGAAGGAGAGGGGUUCGGAUAAGCGCCGGGAGAAGGAUAGACGCAAGAGGCGGUCUGAGAGAGUUAAGAGUAGUGAUGAAUCUGAAGAUGAGUACUACGAUAGAGGUGGUGAUGAUGAUGAUGAAGAGAGGGAGAGGCCUAAAGAGAAGGAGAGGAGGCGGAGGGAUAAAGAGAAGGGGAAGAGACGGUCAGAGAGAAGGAGGAGUAGUGAUUCUGAGGAUGAGGAUGAAGAAGAUGGUGAGAGGGAUAAACGCCGGGUGAAGGAGAAGGAGAGAGGACACAGAGAACAUAGGGAGAAAGAUCGGAAAAGGGAUAGAGAGAGGGAAGAGAGAAAGGAGAAAGAAAGAGAGAGGGAGAAGGAUAGAGUUAGGAGGGAACGGGAACGAGAGGAGCGUGAGAAGGAGAGACUGAAAGAAAGAGAGAGGCGCGAGCGGGAACGGGAAGAUGGAGAGAGGGAUAGGAAAGAACGUGAGAAAGAAAGGGGUAGGAGGCACCGAGAAAGGGGGAGAUCAAGGGAGGAUGGGAAUGAGGAGAGUGAUGAUGAUGUCAAGCGUGACCUGAAACGUAGGAGAAGAGAGAGUGGAGAACGGAAGGAGAAGGAGCGUGAGAAGAGUGUUGGUAGAUCUAGCAGGCAUGGAGAUGACAAUGUGGAUAGUCCAAGGAAAAAGAGUGUCGAGGAGGAUGGUGAAAAGAAAGAGAAAAAGACCAGGGAAGAAGAACUAGAGGAAGAGCAGAAGAAAUUGGAUGAGGAGGCUGAGAAACGGAGGAGAAGAGUUCAGGAGUGGCAAGAGUUGAAGAGGAAGAAAGAGGAAGCUGAAAGUGAAAGUAAGGGUGAUGCGGAUGAUAAAGAGCCUAAGACCGGUAAGGCUUGGACUCUUGAUGGGGAAUCUGAUGAUGAAGAAGGGCAUCCGGAGGAAAAACCAGAAACAGAGAUGGAUGUUGAUGGAGAGACUAAACCCGAAACUGGUGCAGAUGCCAAGAUGGUAGACGCGGAGGAGAACGAGAUAGUUACUACCGUCUCUGAAGUAGAAGGUGAAGGAGCUGCAGAUGAAGAGGAAAUUGAUCCUUUAGAUGCUUUUAUGAAUUCGAUGGUAUUACCCGAGGUUGAGAAGCUUAGCAGCAGUACUCCUCCAGCAGUUGAAGAUAGUAGUUUGGUUACUAAGAGUAAUGGAAAGAAAAUUGAUCACCAGCCGAAGAAAGGUUUUAACAAAUCCCUUGGCAGGAUAAUGCAAGGUGAAGAUUCUGAUUCUGAUUAUUCAGAACCAAAGAAUGAUGAUGAUCCAAGUUUAGACGAAGACGAUGAGGAGUUCAUGAAGAGAGUAAAGAAGACAAAAGCAGAAAAAUUGGCUCUUGUUGACCACUCAAAAAUAGAGUAUGAACCUUUCCGGAAGAACUUCUAUAUUGAAGUGAAGGAGAUCUCAAGGAUGACACCAGAAGAAGUUAACGCUUACAGAAAGGAAUUUGAGCUGAAAGUCCAUGGAAAGGAUGUACCAAGACCCAUAAAAUCUUGGCACCAGACUGGACUAACCAGCAAAAUUUUGGAUACCAUGAACAAGCUUAAGUAUGAAAAGCCAAUGCCUAUCCAAACGCAAGCACUUCCAAUCAUCAUGAGCGGUCGAGAUUGCAUUGGAGUUGCAAAAACCGGAUCAGGUAAAACGCUAGGUUUUGUUUUGCCUAUGUUGAGGCAUAUCAAGGAUCAGCCUCCCGUUGAAGCUGGUGAGGGGCCAAUUGGGCUUGUAAUGGCACCUACUAGGGAGCUUGUUCAGCAGAUUCACAGCGACAUCAAAAAGUUUUCAAAGCCAUUGGGUAUAAGAUGUGUUCCUGUGUAUGGAGGAUCAGGAGUUGCGCAGCAAAUUAGUGAGCUGAAGCGAGGGACAGAGAUUGUUGUGUGCACUCCUGGGAGGAUGAUUGAUAUUCUUUGCACAAGCAGUGGGAAAAUCACCAAUCUGCGGAGAGUCACAUUUUUGGUAAUGGAUGAAGCUGAUCGUAUGUUUGACAUGGGGUUUGAGCCUCAAAUUACUCGUAUUAUUCAAAAUAUUCGACCUGAUCGGCAGACUGUGCUCUUUUCUGCUACUUUUCCACGUCAAGUUGAAGCUUUGGCACGUAAAGUCUUGAACAAACCUAUUGAAAUACAGGUUGGUGGAAGGAGCGUUGUGAAUAAGGAUAUAUCACAGUUAGUUGAAGUCAGACCGGAGAGUGAGAGGUUCUUAAGACUGCUGGAACUUCUUGGAGAAUGGUAUGAGAAAGGAAAGAUUUUGGUUUUUGUGCAGUCGCAGGAAAAAUGUGAUGCCUUGUUGAAGGAUUUGUUUAAAAGGAGUUAUCCUUGUCUAUCUCUUCACGGUGGUAAAGAACAGUCUGAUCGUGAAUCAACUAUAUCUGAUUUUAAGAGCAAUGUGUGCAAUAUUUUGAUUGCCACAAGUGUUGCAGCUAGGGGUCUAGAUGUGAAAGACCUUGAGUUGGUUGUAAACUAUGAUGCUCCGAACCACUAUGAAGAUUAUGUGCAUCGCGUUGGCAGGACAGGAAGGGCAGGGCGGAAAGGCUGUGCUGUGACAUUUAUCUCCGAAGAUGAUGCAAAAUAUGCACCGGAUUUAGUCAAGGCCCUGGAACUUUCCGAGCAGCCAAUCCCCGAUGAUCUGAAAGCAAUCGCUGACGGUUUCAUGGCGAAGGUGAGACAGGGUACUGAGCAAGCUCAUGGAACUGGCUAUGGAGGUAGUGGCUUUAAAUUCAACGAAGAGGAGGAAGAAGUUAGGAAAGCAGCAAAGAAAGCACAAGCGAAGGAGUAUGGGUUUGAGGAAGACAAGUCUGACUCAGAAGAUGAGAAUGAUGUAGUAAGAAAGGCAGGUGCUGUCGGUGGUGAUACCUCUCAACACCAAGCUGCUCUUGCUCACAUAGCCGCCAUUGCUGCGGCUGCUAAAGCUAAUGCUGCUGCAAUGAAUGCUCCUGUGACUUCAAACCAGUUGCUGCCAAAUGGUGGCGGGAUUACCUCUCUACCUGGUACCCUUCCGGUUUCUAUUCCAGUCCUUCCUAAUGAUGGGGCAGGCCGUGCUGCAGCCAUGGUUGCUGCCAUUAACCUGCAACAUAACCUGGCGAAGAUUCAAGCUGAUGCAAUGCCUGAACACUAUGAAGCAGAACUGGAGAUCAAUGAUUUUCCACAAAAUGCUCGUUGGAAGGUCACCCACAAAGAAACUUUGGGUCCAAUAUCGGACUGGACUGGAGCCGCCAUUACCACUAGAGGUCAGUAUUAUCCUCCUCCACGUAUCCCACCACCUGGGGAACGCAAGCUCUACUUGUUCAUUGAAGGGCCUACGGAAAAAUCUGUGAAGACGGCGAAAGUUGAACUCAAGCGUGUUCUUGAAGACAUUACAAAUCAGUCGUUGUCACUUCCUGGGGGAUCGCAGGCUGGAAAGUACUCCGUCAUAUAAUGAAAGCAGCCAUGAGGUGGUCUGUUAAGUGAUUCAAAGCGCACAGUUUAUUUUGUUUAACAAGUAUUAUUAUUGGAUUACUAUUGUGGAAUACACUCUCUGCACAAUUUCCGAAUCUUUUCUUAUGAUAGACUUGAACUUGGUGUGACAGUUCUUAUAAUGCUUGUUGUUGCUCAUACUUCUAGAUCUCUCCUCUUUUAAUUAUAUUCCCUCUCUUUUUUGUUUGUUUGUUAUGUUUAAACAAUGGCUUCGAUGGAUUUGCUAAUGCGCAUUACCGUAUGGUGGUAAUGGCUGUAAAAGGAUGGGUAAAAUCUAGCUUUGAUGCAGUUGUUGUGUUUGGGAAAAAAAUUGUGAAACGAUGAAGCUCCCUGGGAGAACAGUUCAAAGCUUUUGCCUCUGCAAUGGGUAAGAUGUCUUGGAGAGUUGGUUCAGUUUUUGUGCCUAUGAUGGGAUCAUCAGCCUGAGUUAAUGGUAAAAGGUGGUGUUUGCAUAGUACAUCGGAUCUGUGAUCAAAAUAGUUGGAAGUAAAAAAACUCUUGUAUGAGAGUACAUACGUGGUCGUGUAGACAAUCGAGAAUCUUGGUCCACAAAAAUGGUUUAUUGCCGAAUUCAAUUCUGUGACGGCGCUUUUAAUACGUGUUGCGUCCAAAGACCAUGUUAGAUAACCAUGCCAAAUGGGGACAUAAACCUUAAGCGAUGUUCUUGAAAGGCCAAUGUACCUGUUUUGUUGUUGUGAGAGUGUCUGAAACA